AACGCACGAGACCUGCGGACCUGCGGAGGGAUCAUUACCGAGUUUACAACUCCCAAACCCCAAUGUGAACAUUACCUUUACUGUUGCUUCGGCGGGAUCGCCCCGGGCGCGGCCGAGAGGCCCAGCCCCGGAUCCAACGUGCGCCCGCCGGAGGACCCCCAGACUCCAUGUUUCUUGCAAGGUAUUUCUGAGCUGCUCCUAGCGAGCAAAACAAAAAAUGAAUCAAAACUUUCAACAAUG
rnacentral:misc_RNA from 1 species